rnacentral:rRNA from 1 species
UUCGCCCUUAGAGUUUGACCCUGGCUCAGGACGAACGCUGGCGGCGCGCCUAACACAUGCAAGUCGAACGAGCAAGAGAGAGCUUGCUUUCUCGAGCGAGUGGCGAACGGGUGAGUAACGCGUGAGGAACCUGCCUCAAAGAGGGGGACAACAGUUGGAAACGACUGCUAAUACCGCAUAAGCCCACGGGUCGGCAUCGACCAGAGGGAAAAGGAGCAAUCCGCUUUGAGAUAGCCUCGCGUCCGAUUAGCUAGUUGGUGAGGUAACGGCCCACCAAGGCGACGAUCGGUAGCCGGACUGAGAGGUUGAACGGCCACAUUGGGACUGAGACACGGCCCAGACUCCUACGGGAGGCAGCAGUGGGGAAUAUUGCACAAUGGGGGAAACCCUGAUGCAGCGACGCCGCGUGGAGGAAGAAGGUCUUCGGAUUGUAAACUCCUGUUGUUGGGGAAGAUAAUGACGGUACCCAACAAGGAAGUGACGGCUAACUACGUGCCAGCAGCCGCGGUAAAACGUAGGUCACAAGCGUUGUCCGGAAUUACUGGGUGUAAAGGGAGCGCAGGCGGGAAGACAAGUUGGAAGUGAAAUCUAUGGGCUCAACCCAUAAACUGCUUUCAAAACUGUUUUUCUUGAGUAGUGCAGAGGUAGGCGGAAUUCCCGGUGUAGCGGUGGAAUGCGUAGAUAUCGGGAGGAACACCAGUGGCGAAGGCGGCCUACUGGGCACCAACUGACGCUGAGGCUCGAAAGUGUGGGUAGCAAACAGGAUUAGAUACCCUGGUAGUCCACACCGUAAACGAUGAUUACUAGGUGUUGGAGGAUUGACCCCUUCAGUGCCGCAGUUAACACAAUAAGUAAUCCACCUGGGGAGUACGACCGCAAGGUUGAAACUCAAAGGAAUUGACGGGGGCCCGCACAAGCAGUGGAGUAUGUGGUUUAAUUCGACGCAACGCGAAGAACCUUACCAAGUCUUGACAUCCCUUGACAGGCAUAGAAAUAUGUUUUCUCUUCGGAGCAAGGAGACAGGUGGUGCAUGGUUGUCGUCAGCUCGUGUCGUGAGAUGUUGGGUUAAGUCCCGCAACGAGCGCAACCCUUAUGGUCAGUUACUACGCAAGAGGACUCUGGCCAGACUGCCGUUGACAAAACGGAGGAAGGUGGGGAUGACGUCAAAUCAUCAUGCCCUUUAUGACUUGGGCUACACACGUACUACAAUGGCGUUAAACAAAGAGAAGCAAGACCGCGAGGUGGAGCAAAACUCAGAAACAACGUCCCAGUUCGGACUGCAGGCUGCAACUCGCCUGCACGAAGUCGGAAUUGCUAGUAAUCGUGGAUCAGCAUGCCACGGUGAAUACGUUCCCGGGCCUUGCACACACCGCCCGUCA